rnacentral:rRNA from 1 species
AGCGAACGCUGGCGGCAGGCCUAACACAUGCAAGUCGAACGAACCUUUCGGGGUUAGUGGCGGACGGGUGUGUAACACGUGGGAACGUGCCUUUAGGUUCGGAAUAACUCAGGGAAACUUGUGCUAAUACCGAAUGUGCCCUUCGGGGGAAUGAUUAAUCGCCUUUAGAGCGGCCCGCGUCUGAUUAGCUAGUUGGUUGAGGUAAUGGCUCGCCAAGGCGACGAUCAGUAGCUGGUCUGAGAGGAUGAUCAGCCACAUUGGGACUGAGACACGGCCCAAACUCCUACGGGAGGCAGCAGUGGGGAAUCUUGCGCAAUGGGCGAAAGCCUGACGCAGCCAUGCCGCGUGAAUGAUGAAGGUCUUAGGAUUGUAAAAUUCUUUCACCGGGGACGAUAAUGACGGUACCCGGAGAAGAAGCCCCGGCUAACUUCGUG